rnacentral:lncRNA from 1 species
CAAGCUAGUGACUUAAACCAAACGUUUGGUGGGAGGCAACCCACUGGUGAGUGUAAAUAAUUCUUUUAGAUUUCGUUUUUGUGUUUCUUUUUACUUAUUUGCAGGAUAGAAAAAAAAAUCAAAAACCCCGAGUUACUCAACCAGAACAGUCUCCGAUUUUUCGAAGCAGCUGCUCUGCUAAGGUAAGUUCCUCGGGACCAAAAAAAAAAAAAAAAAUUUUUCAAAUUUUAGCUAUUUUUGUAACAAUUUUUUAAAUGAAAAAAAAAACCCUAGCAAGUGGGAAGUGGGCCACGAUGUGGGGGCCUAUAAAAGGGACCUUACCCCAUAUCUUCCCCAUUUCCCCCAAAACCGCCUCCUCCCUCUCCACU